rnacentral:rRNA from 1 species
AAUAGAUACCCGGGUAGUCCACGCCGUAAACGAUGAGUGCUAAGUGUUAGGGGGUUUUCCGCCCCUUAGUGCUGCAGCUAACGCAUUAAGCACUCCGCCUGGGGAGUACGGUCGCAAGACUGAAACUCAAAGGAAUUGACGGGGGCCCGCACAAGCGGUGGAGCAUGUGGUUUAAUUCGAAGCAACGCGAAGAACCUUACCAGGUCUUGACAUCCCAUUGACCGCUAUGGAGACAUAGUUUUCCCUUCGGGGACAGUGGUGACAGGUGGUGCAUGGUUGUCGUCAGCUCGUGUCGUGAGAUGUUGGGUUAAGUCCUGCAACGAGCGCAACCCUUGAUCUUAGUUGCCAUCAUUUAGUUGGGCACUCUAAGGUGACUGCCGGUGACAAACCGGAGGAAGGUGGGGAUGACGUCAAAUCAUCAUGCCCCUUAUGACCUGGGCUACACACGUGCUACAAUGGACGGUACAAACGGUUGCCAACCCGCGAGGGGGAGCUAAUCCGAUAAAACCGUUCUCAGUUCGGAUUGUAGGCUGCAACUCGCCUAC